rnacentral:rRNA from 1 species
UACAGAGGUCCCAAGCGUUGUUCGGAUUCACUGGGCGUAAAGGGUGCGUAGGUGGCCGGGAAAGUCUGAUGUGAAAGCUCGGAGCUCAACUCCGAAAUGGCAUUGGAUACUAUUCGGCUGGAGGUUGGGAGGGGGGACUGGAAUUCUCGGUGUAGCAGUGAAAUGCGUAGAUAUCGAGAGGAACACCAGUGGCGAAGGCGAGUCCCUGGACCAAUCCUGACACUGAGGCACGAAAGCCAGGGGAG